rnacentral:misc_RNA from 1 species
UAUCCAUAUAAACUAUACACAAAAUAAGUCACCAUAACAUAAUAACAACUUAAAAUAAAAGAAUAAAAGGGCUGGCAAUUAAACUGCAUUUUCGGUCUUUUGAAAUAAUAAAACGAUGUCAUUUUGAUUAAAUUAGCUGAAUGGAAAAACAAUAAUGAAGACUCGCUUGAUCCGUUAAAUCGCAACGGAUUGAUGGGUACUCAGCUGGUCUGCUGGAUUUUUCUCGACUUUGGUGAUACGCGUGUUUUAAAGAUAAAUCAAACCAUUUGACGAAUUGAUUUAAAAUUUUUGUAGUUCAACCAAUUGGGUAGGUUUGAUUUUUGAAAACAUAGUCCAAACAAAUUGACGCCCGGCCUGACUAGAAGAAUAAUAUAAAACCCAAUUGGACAGAAACAAAAGAAACGAAAAAAAAA